UGGGGAAUCUUCCGCAAUGGGGCGCAAGCCUGACGGAGCAACGCCGCGUGAGUGAAGAAGGGUUUCGAUUCGUAAAGCUCUGUUGUCGGGGACGAAUGUGGAGAUGGUGAAUAACCAUUUCUAAUGACGGUACCUGACGAGGAAGCCACGGCUAACUACGUGCCAGCAGCCGCGGUAAUACGUAGGUGGCGAGCGUUGUCCGGAAUUAUUGGGCUUAAAGGGUGCGCAGGCGGCGCGCCAAGUCAGCGGUCAAAGUUCCGGGCUCAACCCGGUGUCGCCGUUGAAACUGGCGUGCUCGAGUGCGUGCGAGGAAGGCGGAAUGCGUUGUGUAGCGGUGAAAUGCAUAGAUAUGACGCAGAACUCCGAUUGCGAAGGCAGCUUUCCAGCGCGCUACUGACGCUGAGGCACGAAAGCGUGGGGAUCGAACAGGAUUAGAUACCCUGGGUAGU
rnacentral:rRNA from 1 species